GGAUGUAUAGCUCAGUGGUAGGGCCUUCGACUGCAGAUCGAGAAGUUCCGGUUCAAACCCGGUUGUCCC